UACGUAGGGGGCAAGCGUUAUCCGGAUUUACUGGGUGUAAAGGGAGCGUAGACGGUGAUGCAAGUCAGAAGUGAAAACCCGGGGCCCAACCCCGGGAGUGCAUUUGAAACUGCCAUGCUGGAGUGCCGGAGAGGUAAGCGGAAUUCCUAGUGUAGCGGUGAAAUGCGUAGAUAUUAGGAGGAACACCAGUGGCGAAGGCGGCCUGCUGGACUGCAACUGACGUUGAGGCCCGAAAGCGUGGGGAGCAAACAGG
rnacentral:rRNA from 1 species